rnacentral:rRNA from 1 species
CAAUAGCGUAUAUUUAAGUUGCUGCAGUUAAAAAGCUCGUAGUUGGAUUUCGGGUGGGAAUGGCCGGUCCGCCGUUUCGGUGUGCACUUGCUACGCCCACCUUGCUGCCGGGGACGUGCUCUUGAGUUCACGCUCGGGACACGGAGUCGGCGAGGUUACUUUGAGUAAAUUAGAGUGUUCAAAGCAGGCCUACGCUCUGAAUACAUUAGCAUGGAAUAACACGAUAGGACUCUGGCCUAUCUUGUUGGUCUGUAGGACCGGAGUAAUGAUUAAGAGGGACAGUCGGGGGCAUUCGUAUUUCAUUGUCAGAGGUGAAAUUCUUGGAUUUAUGAAAGACGAACUACUGCGAUAGCAUUUGCCAAGGAUGUUUUCAUUAA